GGAGUUAAGGAAAGAAAUGAAGUGAAUAUUAGUCAUCAAGCGAUUACUCCAUAUUACUCCAUCCAUCCAACAUUGUUAGUCAUUUCUAGUUUCGGAUGUCCCAAUGUGAGUCCUCUCUAAAAACUCAAAGUGCAAAUUUUUUUAAUUUUUGAAACUAUGCCUUUGAAUUAUAAAUAUGUUUAAAAGUGGAAAUAAGAGGGAAAUAUUGAGAAUCAAUGCUUUCAAAUUUUAAUUUCAGUGAAUUAAUAAUGUGAUCUCUUAAAAAGUCCUAUCUCCCUAAAUUAAAGGUUAUCAUUUGUGGGAUGGAUGGAGUUUUUUCUGCAGUAGGUUUCUCGCUAGAGGACUUAAACUCAAAAAAAUCUUUGCGGUUUUGUUCCCUUAAAAGAG
rnacentral:lncRNA from 1 species